AAUGAACCAACUGAAGCCAAAUCAGAAGUAUAAAGACAGGUUUAUUGAAUGGCAGCUCUUGGAGUUUUGGAAGACUCAAGGCAUCGUGGUCCAGAGGGUGUGGCUGAACAGUUCCUGCUGUGAUCUCUUAGCAAACGGAGAGAAGGAAUCCUGUUCAGACACUAGUACUGUGCACCACACGUUCUAGCUGUAACCCAUCCAGUCCUUCAGCUCUGGGAGGUCGUGGUCAAGAUAUUCUGUCUUCUCCUUGCCUCUUUGAAAU